rnacentral:rRNA from 1 species
AGCGAACGCUGGCGGCAGGCCUAACACAUGCAAGUCGAACGAACCUUUCGGGGUUAGUGGCGGACGGGUGAGUAACACGUGGGAACGUGCCUUUAGGUUCGGAAUAACUCAGGGAAACUUGUGCUAAUACCGAAUGUGCCCUUCGGGGGAAAGAUUUAUCGCCUUUAGAGCGGCCCGCGUCUGAUUAGCUAGUUGGUUGAGGUAAUGGCUCACCAAGGCGACGAUCAGUAGCUGGUCUGAGAGGAUGAUCAGCCACAUUGGGACUGAGACACGGCCCAAACUCCUACGGGAGGCAGCAGUGGGGAAUCUUGCGCACUGGGCGAAAGCCUGACGCAGCCAUGCCGCGUGAAUGAUGAAGGUCUUAGGAUUUAAAAUUCUUUCACCGGGGACGAUAAUGACGGUACCCGGAGAAGAAGCCCCGGCUAACUUCGUG